rnacentral:rRNA from 1 species
GAUGAACGCUGGCGGCGUGCCUAAUACAUGCAAGUCGAGCGAAUGGAUUAAGAGCUUGCUCUUAUGAAGUUAGCGGCGGACGGGUGAGUAACACGUGGGUAACCUGCCCAUAAGACUGGGAUAACUCCGGGAAACCGGGGCUAAUACCGGAUAACAUUUUGAACCGCAUGGUUCGAAAUUGAAAGGCGGCUUCGGCUGUCACUUAUGGAUGGAUCCGCGUCGCAUUAGCUAGUGGGUGAGGGAACGGCUAACCAAGGCAACGAUGCGUAGCCGACCUGAGAGGGUGAUCGGCCACACUGGGACUGAGACACGGCCCAGACUCCUACGGGAGGCAGCAGUAGGGAAUCUUCCGCAAUGGACGAAAGUCUGACGGAGCAACGCCGCGUGAGUGAUGAAGGCUUUCGGGUCGUAAAACUCUGUUGUUAGGGAAGAACAAGUGCUAGUUGAAUAAGCUGGCACCUUGACGGUACCUAACCAGAAAGCCACGGCUAACUACGUGCCAGCCGCCGCCGUAA